GGGAAGGGGACGGGAACGGGGAUUGCCCGUUGCAGACGAACGCAUUUGCCCUUUUCUGGUCCCAACAUGGCGAGGGCUGCGUCGAAGCGUACCUGCGAGAAUUUGGGUGUGCCGCUGACGCCUUCACGAGUGUCCGAGAAAAACGGGACUCCCAGGGAGGCUUUAAACGGGCCAGAAGACCAGGCGUCUCGCGCGCCUUCCUCCAUUUGGUUCCCAAUCCGCGAGACAACUUCAUCUGCAUGCACCAGCAAAAGAAAAAAGCGGGUGGCCUGUCGGCGACCACACGUGUGUAACAAAUAACAAAAAUGCACGGAGUAUGCAUGCCAGUAAUCGUGCCCAUAUAUAUAUGAAUAUAUAUAUUCACAUAUAUGAAUAUAUGAAUACAUAUGAAUAAUUUAUGUAUUUGAACAUACAUGUGUACAUCCUAGUCACGGGGACCAGAAGGAGAUCAAGAGAUACGCAGUUGCGCCUUACGCAUGUGGAGAUGCGAGUAUAUUUUGGUAUCUGUUUGUGGUCUUUUGAACAAGUGUCUCUCUUUUUAUGUUGAUGCAGAGGGUCGGGUGCUCUGGAAACUGCCGGGGACGGAGGAUGCCGGGAAGAGGGGCACGCACGACGCAGCUCGAGGGCGUGGAAAGUCUCUCGAAGGCAGAGCAGGAAUCGUUGGGGAUCCUAUCCUGCGCAUGCGUUGUUAACGAAACUGGAGAGAAGAUGCGCCGGAGCGCCAACCUCUUCCUGUCUCACCGAUCUUCGCUGCAGGCAGAUGCGCCGAGGGAGAAAAAACUUUGAACGCCCCGAAAUCCCCUGGAAGCCUUCGCCGAUGAUGCCGAAGAACGCAGUCGCCUGCUCGAAACAGCCACAACAGUGAGCCAGGGCGCUGGAUUUCGAUGCCAAACCGUGGAACCACGCCAAGACACACAGCCGGAUGUGGUGGACGCCGGCAGUCCUACACAGACACCCCUGUAGUUGUUUGAUAACGGCAGGACCUAAUACGUGUAGCAUCUUUGUGUUUGCACAGGCUUCUGCCUGCAUGGAUAAUUGUGGCAUGGGUGUCCUGGAUUGCGUCGAAUCGAUGCACGAAGAAAGCUUGUCCGUCGGGCGCGACUGCAGGGCCUGAGGCGCCUGCCGGUCUCAGGAGAUUCUUGGACCGCUUUCUUUCCGGGGGCCCAGGCUUUCUGAAGAAACGAGGUGUUUCGAUCCCGAACCUACCGUCGAUAAGGAGAAACAGGGCGUCCGAGCGGUCGCCUUCCUUGACAAAAACAAAGUCUUUCGGAAACGUGUGGAGAUGGAAAAAGUAGCUCAUCUGCUCCACAAUCAGUCUGCGCAGAUCGCGGACUCCCGGGAGCACCGCGCGAAGCUGAGACACCUGAACGGCGCCACGAAAAACGCAAGCGAAGUCGGAGCGACUCGCAGUUGAGGGGCCGCCGAAGAUGGGGACGAGCGAGAGAAGGAGACGACUCGAGAAAACGCGAUCUGGAAAACACGAAACUGCGUCGAAUCGAACCCCGGAGACGAGUCUCUUUCUGGCGGUCCCACGUGGGCACAGUCCGAAGAAAGGCUCAGGAGUCGGUAGCCUCCGAGGUGCCCUGUCUCGUUGAGGCGCGGUACCUUCUGGUCGGUCUUCUUCUGGAGAGACGUUCUGAGGCAUUGGUCGAAGGACGCUUUGUCCAGAGAGAGAAACGCGCAUGCAGUCUUGGUGAUGAGCGCUGCAGAUCGCACGUCGUUGCGAAUCAAACCUGAGGCAAACCCCCGCACCGAAAAACGGGGUGCAUUUAAGACGGCGCGACGCAAGGGAGGCAAUUGCGAAGAGUGGCAGGCACACGAAGGCAUCCGGAGCCUUGAGCAAGAAGAGCGAGACAAGAGCCAAGGGAGAGAGAAAACCCAGCAGGCCACGCGCUCACCUAACUCUCCGAAAGAGUCACCCACGCCCAGCACAGCGACGCAGCUGUCCAUGUCGAUGCGGGAGAAGUCGAGGGAAGCGUCGUACUCUGGAGGCAGAGAGAAGAGUUCGCAGCUCCUCAACGGCGUGGCAGCGCGAUCGCCAACGUUCAAAUCAAGACUGCUUGAACUGCGUUUGCAGGCUCGGUUGGACACGUAUCUGCAUGGGACUCCCUCACACGCAUUGCUGCCAACCUCCUCUGCACUUGUACAUAAAGUGUGAGAAGAAACUUUGACGCACAUACCCCUCACCGGGGCCCAUCGGAUUCAUCUCUGCGUCGACGCAGCUUUGAGGACCUCUUCCGUGACGGACAGGCAGUGUCGCGCAAAAAGCCGCUCAAGUCUCAAGCUCUUUUCUCGCUUCUUUCCAGACAAGGGUGAGAGUCUGUGACGAUGCCACGGGGUUCUGAGAGAGGUAUCGGGGUGGCUGACAUUCAGACGCGCGCCCACCGCUGUGUACAGACCACCGCACCUCUUUAAAUGCGUGGCGCCUGAGCCGGGAGCCUCCAGUAUUUUGAGUUUUUUGUGUGGCUGACAUCUCCCGCAUGCAACUAAAAAGCCUCUCGGAACCCUGCGGGGUACAAAGUGGAGACGAGUAACAUUUCAACUGCCGCGAGUUCGUACCCUCGUCCGCGACUUCGUCGCUGUAGCGCACAGUCGAAGACCGUCCCUCGUCUGUGAGCAAAACAUGCGCCGAGGAAAGGCAAGCUGCUAGAUCAAUCGGCACCAGAGCAGGAAGCAGGUUAGGGAAAGACGGGAAUUCGGAAGCACACACAAUGCGGUACGGGAAACGGACGCGAAGGAGCGAAGACCCACACGCGGCGUUGGGAUCCGAACGGACCGAAGCGCUCGGCGAGAGAGCAGAAGAGGAGACGGCACAAGAACUCGGCCCCCGGUCACCUGAGCGGAGACCUCACAGGAAGCCGUAGGCACACGUGACCGAGCCAAGGAAAGAAGAUAUCGACACCGAAGGCUUGGUGAAACGCAUAGAAAAGGACACAUCCCGGGAGGCGCGGCGCCCAGAGGCGGAACAGUUGGCGAGACGAACGAGGCGGCAGUCGGCAGGAAAGGCGACAGUCAGGAGAGAAGGUUUUCACCAAAUCCGAACCGCUGCAGGGAGAGAUGUUCGUUGUUCCGUAUAGGUCUCUCUGUGCGUCUUCGCUUCUUUGUGCUUUUUUCGCUUCUCGCCUUCCUCGUGUUUUGUGCCCUGUUCUAUCCUGUCCGAGCCCGCCCGCGAAGGUGUUUUUAAGUCGACCUGCGAAC
rnacentral:lncRNA from 1 species